UACGUAGGGUGCAAGCGUUUGUCCGGAAUUAUUGGGCGUAAAGAGCUUGUAGGUGGUUUGUCGCGUCUGCUGUGAAAAUCCGAGGCUCAACCUCGGACUUGCAGUGGGUACGGGCAGACUAGAGUGUGGUAGGGGAGACUGGAAUUCCUGGUGUAGCGGUGAAAUGCGCAGAUAUCAGGAGGAACACCGGUGGCGAAGGCGGGACUCUGGGCCGAAUACUGACGUGGAGGAGCGAAAGCGUGGGGAGCAAACAGG
rnacentral:rRNA from 1 species